UACGGGAGGCAGCAGUGGGGAAUAUUGCACAAUGGGCGAAAGCCUGAUGCAGCUAUGCCGCGUGUAUGAAGAAGGCCUUAGGGUUGUAAAGUACUUUCAUCGGGGAGGAAAAAACAAAACUAAUAAUUUUAUUUCUUGACGUUACCCGAAAAAGAAGCACCGGCUAACUCCGUGCCAGCAGCCGCGGUAAUACGGAGGGUGCUAGCGUUAAUCAGAAUUACUGGGCGUAAAGAGCACGUAGGUGGUUUUUUUAAGUCAGAUGUGAAAUCCCUGGGCUUAACCUGGAACUGCAUUUUGAAACUGAAAUACUAGAGUAUCGUAGAGGGAGGUAGAAUUCUAGGUGUAGCGGUGAAAUGCGUAGAUAUCUGGAGGAAUACCUGUGGCGAAAGCGGCCUCCUAAACCGAAUACUGACACUGAGGUGCGAAAGCGUGGGGAGCAAACAGGGAUUAGGAUACC
rnacentral:rRNA from 1 species